CAGUCUCAAACCUACGGCCCAAACGGCGCGCUUUCGGCCCGCGAUUCCCUCCUAACAACGGAGGGAGGGAGAAGUGGAAAAAAUCGCCUCGCUUGUUGGCCUCCGUCAGCCCGCGCCUCCUUCCUCCGUCCUCCGGCUCGGCGGUCCGCCGCCCUCCUUCAUCCUCCGGCUGGAGGCCCUCCUCCACCCCCGCCUCGCGGCCCUACACUCUCGUUGGGUCGGCACCCGUGCCUCCCAUUCUCUCCUCUUCUCUCGCUCGAGCGCCGCGGCCUCUGCUCGCUCGGUCGAGGCUGAAGGACGGGACAAAGCGCAGAUUGACCACCGGGCGUCGGAACCGCCGCCGCUGCCGCCGAAGGGGUUAUAAGAUCAGAUGGGGACUUCGGUGCAGGUGACGCCUCUCAGCGGGGCGUACGGGGAGGGCCCCCUGUGCUACCUACUCGCCGUCGAUGGUUUCCGCUUCCUCCUCGACUGCGGAUGGACCGACCUCUGCGAUACCUCGCAACUUCAACCCCUCGCAAAGGUUGCACCAACUGUAGAUGCUGUUCUUUUGUCACAUCCUGACAUGAUGCAUCUAGGAGCUUUGCCUUACGCUAUGAAACACCUUGGGCUGUCUGCACCAGUUUAUGCAACAGAACCCGUGUUUAGGCUUGGCCUUUUGACCAUGUAUGACCAUUUCCUGUCUCGAUGGCAAGUUUCAGACUUUGACUUGUUUACUCUAGAUGAUGUUGAUGCUGCAUUCCAAAAUGUUGUGAGACUGAAGUACUCACAAAAUUACCUUCUGAAUGAUAAAGGUGAAGGAGUUGUUAUUGCUCCACAUGUGGCUGGGCAUCUUUUGGGGGGGACAGUUUGGAAGAUUACAAAAGAUGGGGAGGAUGUUGUGUAUGCUGUUGACUUCAACCAUCGGAAAGAGAGGCAUUUGAAUGGCACCGUUCUUGGAUCUUUCGUGCGGCCAGCUGUUCUGAUAACUGAUGCUUACAAUGCUUUGAACAACCAAGGCUAUAGAAAAAAGCAGGAUCAAGAUUUCAUUGAAUCAUUAAUUAAAGUUCUGGCAACUGGUGGAAGUGUGCUACUUCCUGUUGACACGGCUGGUAGAGUGUUGGAACUUCUUUUGUUAUUGGAUAUGUACUGGGAUGAAAGGCGAUUGCAGUACCCUAUCUACUUCCUGACAAAUGUGUCGACAAGUACCGUUGAUUAUGUCAAGAGUUUUCUUGAAUGGAUGGGUGAUCAAAUUGCAAAAUCUUUUGAAAGCAGUAGAGCCAAUGCCUUCUUGUUAAAAAAGGUCACGCUGAUAAUUAACAAAGAAGAGCUUGAGAAAUUGGGAGAUGCUCCAAAGGUGGUUCUGGCAUCCAUGGCAAGUUUGGAGGUUGGCUUUUCUCAUGACAUAUUUGUGGAGAUGGCAAAUGAAGCAAGAAAUCUAGUGCUCUUUACUGAGAAGGGACAGUUUGGGACACUGGCUCGAAUGCUCCAAGUGGACCCACCCCCUAAAGCUUUAAAGGUCACUAUGAGCAAGAGGAUUCCUUUGGUGGGUAAUGAACUAAAGGCUUAUGAAGAAGAGCAAGAACGGAUAAAAAAAGAGAAAUCGCUAAAGGCUAGCCUUGUCAAAGAAGAGGAGCUAAAGGCUUCUCAUGGAUCAAACACAAAGGCUUCUGAGCCAAUGGUCAUUGAUGCAAGCUCAUCUCGAAAAUCUGUGAAUGCUUCACAUUUUGGUGGGAACAAUGAUAUUCUCAUAGAUGGAUUUGUCCCUCCUUUAACCAGUGUUGCUCCAAUGUUUCCCUUCUUUGAAAACACUGCUGAAUGGGACGACUUUGGUGAGGUCAUCAACCCUGAUGAUUAUAUGAUGAAACAAGAAGAAAUGGAUAAUACUCUGAUGCUUGGCCCUGGAGAUGGAUUAGAUGGUAGGAUCGAUGAUGGCUCAGCACGCCUGCUUCUUGAUUCAACGCCCUCAAAAGUCAUUUCCAACGAGAUGACUGUUCAAGUGAAAUGCUCAUUGGUUUAUAUGGACUUUGAAGGUCGCUCUGAUGGGCGUUCUGUAAAAUCAAUUAUUGCUCACGUGGCUCCACUGAAACUUAUCCUGGUGCAUGGAUCAGCUGAAGCAACUGAACAUUUGAAAAUGCACUGCGCAAAGAAUUUAGAUUUGCAUGUUUAUGCUCCACAGAUUGAGGAAACUAUUGAUGUAACAUCAGACUUAUGUGCUUAUAAGGUACAACUUUCGGAGAAGUUAAUGAGUAACAUCAUUUCUAAGAAGUUGGGUGAGCAUGAAAUUGCUUGGGUGGAUGCAGAAGUUGGAAAAGAAGAUGAGAAGCUUAUUUUGCUUCCCCCAUCGUCAACACCACCACCCCAUAAGCCUGUUCUUGUGGGUGAUCUAAAGUUGUCUGAUUUUAAACAAUUUUUGGAAAACAAAGGCUGGCAGGUUGAAUUUGCCGGAGGUGCUUUACGGUGUGGCGAAUACAUCAUGGUGCGCAAAGUUGGUGAUUCUAUCCUAAAGGGCAGCACAGGGUCCCAGCAGAUCGUCAUCGAGGGCCCCCUCUGCGAGGACUAUUACAAGAUCAGGGAGCUUCUGUACUCGCAGUUCUACUUGCUGUGAGGCAACGUACGGCAAAGCUUAGGCUUUAUUUACAUUGGUUAUAAAUUAUUAGAUUAGAUGUUGACUGUAAGACUAUCCUGGUGUUUUCUGUUUUUACAUUGUUUGUUUCCCCUUUCACAAGCUUAGGCUUGUGUUGUCCGAAAUUUGGCGUGGGAUGACCGUGACAAAGUUUUGGCAUCAGUUUCCGGAUGACCGUGCUGACUACCAAGUGGUCCAAGAACGAUGACAAUGCAUCCAUCCAAAGAAGAACAAAAACAACGACGACAAAGCGUCCACCUAUUUUCCACCUAGGGGUGCAAUCAAUCAGAUCGGAGAUGGGUAAUGCUUGUAUCAUAUUUUCUCUUUAGAUUUAGAUUAGAUAUAUUUUCUUUUUAGAUUUAGAUCAGAUACGAAUAUUAUUGGUCUAUGACCGUAAGAUUUGAAUGGAUAUCAAUAUAUCUUAAAUACCUAUACUCUA